rnacentral:misc_RNA from 1 species
GAUGAAGAACGUAGCGAAAUGCGAUAAGUAAUGUGAAUUGCAGAAUUUAGUGAAUCAUCGAAUCUUUGAACGCAUAUUGCGCCCGCCAGCACUCUGGCGGGCAUGCCUGUUCGAGCGUCAUUUCAACCCUCAGGCCUCGCGUCUGGCGUUGGGGCGCUGCGGCCCUCCCGCAGGCCCCCAAAUUUAGCGGCGGAUUCCCCGCGGCCCUGAGCGCAGUAGAGAGUAAAAACUUUAACGCUCCGGCGGCCGUGGCGCGGUUCUGCCUCUUUCCCAAUAGCGCCAAUAGCGCCACCCCCAAAAAAGUUGACCUCGGAUCAGGUAGGACUACCCGCUGAACUUAAGCAUAUCAAUGAGCGGAGGA